rnacentral:tRNA from 1 species
GAGAGCAUAGCUCAGUGACAGAGUUUGUGCUUGGCAUGCAUGAGGUCUUGGGUUCAAUGCCCAGUACCUCCA